AGCGGCGGACGGGUGAGUAACGCGUGGGUAACCUACCCUAUACACACGGAUAACAUACCGAAAGGUAUGCUAAUACGAGAUAAUAUAAGGGAUUCACAUGGAUUUCUUAUCAAAGUUGAGGCGGUAUAGGAUGGACCCGCGUCUGAUUAGCUAGUUGGUAAGGUAACGGCUUACCAAGGCGACGAUCAGUAGCCGACCUGAGAGGGUGAUCGGCCACAUUGGAACUGAGACACGGUCCAAACUCCUACGGGAGGCAGCAGUGGGGAAUAUUGCACAAUGGGCGAAAGCCUGAUGCAGCAACGCCGCGUGAGUGAUGAAGGCCUUCGGGUCGUAAAACUCUGUCCUCAAGGAAGAUAAUGACGGUACUUGAGGAGGAAGCCCCGGCUAACUACGUGCCAGCAGCCGCGGUAAUACGUAGGGGGCUAGCGUUAUCCGGAUUUACUGGGCGUAAAGGGUGCGUAGGUGGUCUCUUAAGUCAGGAGUGAAAGGCUACGGCUUAACCGUAGUAAGCUCUUGAAACUGGGAGACUUGAGUGCAGGAGAGGAAAGUGGAAUUCCUAGUGUAGCGGUGAAAUGCGUAGAUAUUAGGAGGAACACCAGUAGCGAAGGCGGCUUUCUGGACUGUAACUGACACUGAGGCACGAAAGUGUGGGGAGCAAACAGGAUUAGAUACCCUGGUAGUCCACGCCGUAAACGAUGAGUACUAGGUGU
rnacentral:rRNA from 1 species